rnacentral:tRNA from 1 species
CAAAGAGUAGCUUAAAACAAAGCAUUCAACUUACAAUUGAAUAAUGUUAGGAUACUCUAACCUCUUUGC